rnacentral:rRNA from 1 species
CAGUAGCCGCGGGAAUACGGAGGGUGCAAGCGUUAAUCGGAAUUACUGGGCGUAAAGCGCACGCAGGCGGUCUGACAAGUCAGAUGUGAAAUCCCCGAGCUUAACCUGGGAACUGCAUUUGAAACUGUCAGGCUGGAGUCUUGUAGAGGGGGGUAGAAUUCCAGGUGUAGCGGUGAAAUGCGUAGAGAUCUGGAGGAAUACCGGUGGCGAAGGCGGCCCCCUGGACAAAGACUGACGCUCAGGUGCGAAAGCGUGGGGAGCAAACAGGAUUAGAUACCCCAGUAGUCCCUGUCUCUUAUAA